rnacentral:rRNA from 1 species
CUUGACAUCCAGCGAACUUUCCAGAGAUGGAUUGGUGCCUUCGGGAACGCUGAGACAGGUGCUGCAUGGCUGUCGUCAGCUCGUGUUGUGAAAUGUUGGGUUAAGUCCCGCAACGAGCGCAACCCUUAUCCUUUGUUGCCAGCGAUUCGGUCGGGAACUCAAAGGAGACUGCCGGUGAUAAACCGGAGGAAGGUGGGGAUGACGUCAAGUCAUCAUGGCCCUUACGAGUAGGGCUACACACGUGCUACAAUGGCGCAUACAAAGAGAAGCGACCUCGCGAGAGCAAGCGGACCUCAUAAAGUGCGUCGUAGUCCGGAUCGGAGUCUGCAACUCGACUCCGUGAAGUCGGAAUCGCUAGUAAUCGUGGAUCAGAAUGCCACGGUGAAUACGUUCCCGGGCCUUGUACACACCGCCCGUCACACCAUGGGAGUGGGUUGCAAAAGAAGUAGGUAGCUUAACCCUCGGGAGGGCGCUUACCACUUUGUGAUUCAUGACUGGGGUGAAGUCGUAACAAGGUAAGCGUAGUGCU